rnacentral:rRNA from 1 species
GAGUUUGAUCCUGGCUCAGGACGAACGCUGGCGGCGCGCCUAACACAUGCAAGUCGAACGGGACCAUUUUAGAGUUUACUUUGGAAUGGUUUAGUGGCGGACGGGUGAGUAACACGUGAGCAACCUGCCUUUCAGAGGGGGAUAACAGUUGGAAACGACUGCUAAUACCGCAUAACGUUGUAAAAGGGCAUCCAUUUACAACCAAAAGAGAAAUCUGCUGAAAGAUGGGCUCGCGGCCGAUUAGAUAGUAGGCGGGGUAACGGCCCACCUAGUCAACGAUCGGUAGCCGGACUGAGAGGUUGAACGGCCACAUUGGGACUGAGACACGGCCCAGACUCCUACGGGAGGCAGCAGUGGGGGAUAUUGCACAAUGGGCGAAAGCCUGAUGCAGCGACGCCGCGUGAGGGAAGACGGUCUUCGGAUUGUAAACCUCUGUCUUUGGGGAAGAAUAGAGACGGUACCCAAAGAGGAAGCUCCGGCUAACUACGUGCCAGCAGCCGCGGUAAUACGUAGGGAGCGAGCGUUGUCCGGAAUUACUGGGUGUAAAGGGAGCGUAGGCGGGCUUGUAAGUUGAAUGUCUAAUCCACCGGCUCAACCGGUGAUCGCGUUCAAAACUGCAGGUCUUGAGUGAAGUAGAGGCAGGCGGAAUUCCUAGUGUAGCGGUGAAAUGCGUAGAUAUUAGGAGGAACACCAGUGGCGAAGGCGGCCUGCUGGGCUUUAACUGACGCUGAGGCUCGAAAGCGUGGGGAGCAAACAGGAUUAGAUACCCUGGUAGUCCACGCCGUAAACGAUGAUUACUAGGUGUGGGGAGAUCAAACUUUCCGUGCCGGAGUAAACACAAUAAGUAAUCCACCUGGGGAGUACGGCCGCAAGGUUGAAACUCGAAGGAAUUGACGGGGGCCCGCACAAGCAGUGGAGUAUGUGGUUUAAUUCGAAGCAACGCGAAGAACCUUACCAGGUCUUGACAUCUCCUGAAUAGCCUAGAGAUAGGUGAAGCCCUUCGGGGCAGGAAGACAGGUGGUGCAUGGUUGUCGUCAGCUCGUGUCGUGAGAUGUUGGCUUAAGUGCCAUAACGAGCGCAACCCCUGCCGCCAGUUGCUAACGCGAAAGGCGAGGACUCUGGCGGGACUGCCGGCGCAAGCCGCGAGGAAGGCGGGGAUGACGUCAAAUCAGCACGGCCCUUACGUCCGGGGCGACACACGUGUUACAAUGGGCGGCACAGCGGGAAGCCAGGCGGCGACGCCGAGCGGAACCCGAAAGCCGUUCUCAGUUCGGAUCGGAGUCUGCAACCCGACUCCGUGAAGCUGGAUUCGCUAGUAAUCGCGCAUCAGCCAUGGCGCGGUGAAUACGUUCCCGGGCCUUGUACACACCGCCCGUCA